rnacentral:rRNA from 1 species
GAUGAACGCUGGCGGCGUGCCUAAUACAUGCAAGUCGAGCGAAUGGAUUAAGAGCUUGCUCUUAUGAAGUUAGCGGCGGACGGGUGAGUAACACGUGGGUAACCUGCCCAUAAGACUGGGAUAACUCCGGGAAACCGGGGCUAAUACCGGAUAACAUUUUGAACCGCAUGGUUCGAAAUUGAAAGGCGGCUUCGGCUGUCACUUAUGGAUGGAACCGCGUCGCAUUAGCUAGUUGGUGAGGUAACGGCUCACCAAGGCAACGAGGCGUAGCCGACCUGAGAGGGUGAUCGGCCACACUGGGACUGAGACACGGCCCAGACUCCUACGGGAGGCAGCAGUAGGGAAUCUUCCGCAAUGGACGAAAGUCUGACGGAGCAACGCCGCGUGAGUGAUGAAGGCUUUCGGGUCGUAAAACUCUGUUGUUAGGGAAGAACAAGUGCUAGUUGAAUAAGCUGGCACCUUGACGGUACCUAACCAGAAAGCCACGGCUAACUACGUGCCAGCCGCCGCGGUAA